rnacentral:tRNA from 1 species
GGGAAUGUGGCUCAGUGGUAGAGUGCUUGCUUUGCAUGCAUGAGGGCCUGGGUUCGAGUCUUAGCACCA